UCUAAACGACUCUCGGCAACGGAUAUCUCGGCUCUCGCAUCGAUGAAGAACGUAGCGAAAUGCGAUACUUGGUGUGAAUUGCAGAAUCCCGUGAACCAUCGAGUUUUUGAACGCAAGUUGCGCCCAAAGCCUUUAGGCCGAGGGCACGCCUGCCUGGGCGUCA
rnacentral:rRNA from 1 species